UGUUUCCCAUUAAUCAAGAACGAAAGUUAGAGGAUCGAAGGCGAUCAGAUACCGCCCUAGUUCUAACCAUAAACGAUGCCAGCCAGCGAUCCGGCUGCGUUCCUCAAAUGACGCGCCGGGCAGCUUCCGGGAAACCAAAGCUUUUGGGCUCCGGGGGAAGUAUGGUUGCAAAGCUGAAACUUAAAGGAAUUGACGGAAGGGCACCACCAGGAAUGGAGCUUGCGGCUUAAUUUGACUCAACACGGGGCAACCCACCCGGCCCGGACACAGGAAGGAUUGACAGAUUAAGAGCUCUUUCUUGAUUCUGUGAGUGGUGGUGCAUGGCCGUUCUUAGUUGGUGGAGCGAUUUGUCUGGUUUAUUCCGAUAACGAACGAGACUCUAGCCUACUAAAUAGACGUUUCCGAUCCUCUGAGUCGGACGUUCUUCUUAGAGGGACAAGCGGCGUUUAGCCGCACGAGACAGAGCGAUAACAGGUCAGUGAUGCCCUUCGAUGUCCGGGGCCGCACGCGUGCUACAUUGAAGGAAUCAGCGUGUGCUCUCCCUGUCCGACAGGACUGGGUAACCCGAUGAAACUCCUUCGUGCUGGGGAUAGGAGAUUGUAAUUGUUCUCCUUGAACGAGGAAUUCCCAGUAAUCGCCAAUCAUUAAUUGGUAAUGAUUAAGUCCCUGCCCUUUGUCCACACCGCCCGUCGCUACUAUCGAUUGAAUGAGCGAGUGAGGCCUUCGGACUGGCGCUCGGAUUGGCCUCCGGGUCGAGCCGACGUGCCGGAAAGAUGGCCAAACUUGAUC
rnacentral:rRNA from 1 species